AAUGGGGGAGGGGGUUCAUAAGAAAUUCUAUGAGCAUUAAAUAUUAUACCACAUCAGCAAAUUUGCUGAUAUGGUAAGAUAAUUAUGAGGAGAGAGGAGGAAGAGUAGAAGAUCAUAGCAUGAGCGAUUCGCCAGGAGGGCAAUGGCUGCCAACGGAAUCUAUAAUAAUUCGAUACUAGGUCAACUGUACUAUCGGAAUUGUAAGAACAUGUAAAAUGUACCACAUGAGGUUGUACCAACUGUGUGCAAUCCUCCGGCACGGGUUAAGUAUCCUGCAUACAUCUUGCCCUCUCUCCCAAUUCAUCGUCCGGGAAGGAUGAAUCGCUCCCGAAAAGAAGUCUAUUGAUUCUCUCCCAAUUGGUUGGAUCGUAGGGCGAUGAUUUACUUCAUGGAUGAGGUCUCUAGUUGAAGCCCAGUAUGGCCUAGCUGCAACAAGGAAAAGAAUAGAAGAAGCAUCCGACUCUUUCAUGCAUACUCCACUUGGCUCGAGGGGGAUAUAGCUCAGUUGGUGGAGCUCCUCUGCACCGCCAGAACCAAUUUGAUUGCUUGAUUUUUAUACGAUAUUUUGAGCAACUAGCAUGAAAGCCGUUGUGUAUCCAUUUUCUCGUUCGAUUUGUUGAUUCUUCUUCUCCACCACACCAAAUAUUUGAAUAAUAAAACACAAACUAGAUAUGGAAUCGCUAUGUUUCUUUCUAUAUGAUAAUAUGCACCGAGGGGAGGAGCAAAUAGAAGUGAAGUAAACAGAUUCAAGUUAGCCCAAAACUACUGAACUUAAUCACUUGCUGCCGUUGCUCAACAGUUUUCUGCUGAGAUCUAUCCCAUAGAGGUAGUCAAAUUGGAUCAAUGAUCGAUUUCUAGGUUUCAUAGGAUGAGAGAGAAUUUUUAUCACCAUGACACUCCUCUACCUCAGUUACCAAGUUUCCAGUCUUGCUAACUAACUGUGCAAUGAAACCAUGCACUGAGACUGGCCUAACAAAAGAAAUGUUUUGUUUCCCACGCAUCUUCAUUUGACCUUUUUCUAGGUAUCAUACUGUAUUCUGUUUUAAUUUAUUACCAGUUGCAUAUGGUGAACCAUUAUUAACCACUGUUAACUAGUAGUGGUCAUCUUUUAGCAAGUCCAACCAGAUAUGAAAUACCUCGAGUAAUUCAACGCCAACAAUUAAAAUAAAACAAACUCGAAUGCUUUAAUUUGGCUACUUUCGUACGGGAGUCAAGAGGCGCAACAUAGCUAGGAAGUAGGGUAGUCGUCGAAUCAUACCAAAACGAGGUAAGUGGUGAUAUAACCCUGAUGUAUGUAGACAUUUCACGUCUGGUGUUGGUUCGCCCUGGACUGGGCAUGUACACUCCACGUAUCUAUCCGUGGUGGGCUUGAACAAAUAUGGUGAAGCAGAGAAGGGGGGACGUAACACACACGCCUAUGCUAUGCUCUUCUACAAAGGCAAGCUAGGGAUCGAUCGGCAUCAGUGUGUCGUGGUGUAGGUGUAGGCGAAUCUGACGACUAGACUACUAGUUACUGUGGGACGCAUAUGUUGAUGGCGCCCAUCUCGAGGCCACGAGGAGGGGGCGAGGGAUGAGACAAGAAGAAUUCAAUCAAGUGGACACGAAGUGCAUGUGCAAAUGCAAUGACUCGAGCGAGGCGCGGGGCCGGGUACUUUUCCAUUUAACUGCCUGCCCGUUCGCGGUACCACACGGUGGUAGAUUGAUCAUGCAUGCGCUCUAUGUGAUGCAUGCAAAGAAAUCGACACGACAGGGCGGUAAAUGGCCAGCAUGGAGGGAGCAGUUGCCCUCUUGGGGGACACACACCACCUUACCUUACCUCCCAUGCAGCUGCACGACGCUUGAACUUGGAGCCAGCCAGCUACAAGCACCAUCGCCGCGUGCACAGGGUGAAACCAAAAAUCGUCGUGUGCAUGAGUUGGCACGGCCGGAUCGAUCGGAUCACGUCCUCCUCGCCCGUAAUCUGGUAUUCUGGUGAGCGUGCACGGCGUUGUCAUCUGGCACUGGCAGCAACCACCCGGGGUGCCGGGCCUUGCAGGGCAUCGGGAGACAGGACGUGCGCCCGUACGCUGCCGCUCCCGGCCGGGCAUGCCAACGCCCACGCAUCCGCGUCGGACACGUCGGCCUUGACCCUGCACGGGCACGAUCCCUCUCGCGUGGACGCGCACAUCCACGGGCGGUACGUACGUGCUCGAUCUGCGUGUGCGCGCCCAUGUGGCGUACGUACCACGUACUAGUACUUUACGUGCUGCGCGCAUCCCAGCCGGCGCGAUGGAUGGGUGACUGACGGUCCUGAUGGAUGGAUCAUAACCAUGCGAUGCGAACAUGACCAUGCAUAUGCACCGGCCGGCCAACAGUACUGACUCACUGAUAGACUGACCCAUUCAUUGAUCGGUCGGUCGACGAUCCAUCGACGACCGUACAACGUGGACGACGCGACCAACGUGUACUUGCCUCCCAUGGAAAGGCUGCCACCUGCACAGUGCGCACGCACCAGCGCGUAGCGGUAUUGGCUCGUACGCGUGACGAGGACAUACGUGCGCGCGCGAGCUGAGAUCUUUGGCUCCGGCUUCAGUGGCUCGCUGCCGGGCGGGCGGACCCCGGCCGGCCGCCGGCGCCGCACGUGACGGCGUGCUCGGGCACAGUGACGCAGCAGCGUCUCUGGUCUCCAUGGAUGGACGCACGAUCUCUGUGUGUGUGGGGGGGGGGGGGGGGGGGGGGGGGGGUACGUGCUCUACGUGGCUAGAGUAGGGUAGCUUGUGGCCUAGCUAGCGUGGCUGGUGGCUAGACGGCCGGGCACGUACCGAGGGGAGGGGAUCACGCACGUCGCUUGCUACCCCAUGGUACCACGGCAUUAUCGCCCUGUCCCUCGCGGGGCAGGCAUGCAGGGCCUCCGAUCCCUCAUCGCCCGGCCGCGUCACGUCCGCGUCGACGGACGGGUCGGACGCCGACGCGGCCGGCCGGCGAGCGGCGGUCGUUGGUCGCAUCGGUUGUUGCGCGCGGAAUAGCAUGCGCGGCGCCUCGGUUGCAGGCGCCGCGCGUCGUUUCGGCCGCUGAUUGGCUCCGCCCCCGCCGGGGACGGACGGCGACGGCGACGGCGACCGGCCGGGCACCACCGAUGCGUCGCCCGCCGGCCUCGCUCAGUUGAUGCUGCUGCAGGCAGGGCCUCCUGCAGGAUGACGGGCGGAUCGGAGGCGUCCGUGCCUAUCGAUGGUCAGCCAGGCACUCCGCACGCGCACGGACGCGGCGAUCGAUCACAUGCGCGCUACAGUGGCGAGCUCCGGCGUGCGUACCCUCGCCCUCCAGCUCCAUACCGACACGAGACCAACCUCCGCCGGGCGUUGUUAGGCGACACAUCAGCGGCCGAUCGGGACCGGCGGGACGAAGGCGCCACAGUCGUCGUCUGACGAUGGGGAUGGUGAUGGUACUUUCUCCAAGGAAAAGGGGCUUGCACUACUGUAAUUGUACCUGAGUAACAUGCAGCAGCACGCGUGGUGGGAUUGGAAAAGAGCUUCCAAUGGCGACCACGUACGGCAGGCGUGGUACGUGCAAGAGAUCAAAGAUGUGCGCUAGGGCAUCAGGCGACAUGAUCCCCUUUUUUUCACUUACAGGCAACAUGAUCAGGAAAUUAAAGUGGAGAAUCCGAUUUUAUUGGUCUUCCCGUCUCAAAUGCCCAAGAUAUCGUCGAAGAGUGUCGAAGAUGCAGUAGCUGCCGAUCCCAGUCGACCUGACCUGUUUUUCACACAGCCCAUGCCCUGCGCGCGCUUGUCGUGGCAAUCAAUCCUCCAUGCUUCGUAUAUCAGAAACUGAUCGAAAGAGGAGCAGCCUCAACACAUCCUUUGCUCCUGUGCCUUUUUGUUACAUCUUUGUUAGGUUGAAAUUGACCUUCAGCGAGUGCAUACUAUGGGCCAACAGAAUGGCACAUUAAAAACCAGAAUUAAAUCUCAGGACCAUGCUUGCACAUCCAAACGAACGCGCACGGCCCACCCUCAAACCGUAUGUUGGUCCAUUUCUGCGACCAAAUGAUUUUCGUCCUCAUGCCAUACAUAUAAAAAUCAUGCUCCAGCAGACGCACAAUCACUUUACUGUUUGCAAACACACACGCCACGACAAAGGAAGUUUUACCAACGAUACAUCAUGCACAGUCAAAUUUUUCAUUCUCUCGCUCCCUCUCUCUGUUUUUUUUUUUCAAAGAACAGCUAGCUCUUCCCGGGCCACAGACUGAGCAAUGGACUUGAUUCAGAUGCACCUGCCAGCCUUCAUGUGACAUUUCGAUUAUGGCACCAGUGUGCCUAGCCGAAAACAGACCAGAACCAGACCAAAUUAUUUACCAGCCCCACACGGGAGAAUCUUCCAUGUUGGAAAUUUCACUUGCAAAGGCUUUCUUGGGUGGUAGAUAGGAGGCAUUGCUUUUCCAUGGAUAAAGCGGCGAAACAGGAACAUUAUCGAGGAGGUGCCAUACUUUAAUUUGAAUCUCGCUAUCGCAGGCCUGAGAGAGGAUCAGAUGCACAUUAAGAUAAGCCACUUUAACCCACCACUCGAAGAGAAUUCCCUUGUUGGACCUCUGCGCACAAUCCACUUGCCGCCUCACCCUUGCAAUCAGAGGUCACAAACGUAAUCAUCUGUUCAUUUUGCUAUUCCUGAUGCACCAGUGACCAAUUAGAUAACAGUGGUGACCAAUAAUACAGCUCAUGAAUAAUAACAAUAAUACUAGUUAAUUGCUGGAAAAAUAGGAGGGGUGGUGGAUGGACAACAAUGUGAAGACGCCAAAUAUCAGAAACAGGUUAUUAAUGUGGGCAUGCAUGAGAAUUAAAUCAAUUUGUAAAUAUCUUGCAGAAUCAAGAACUCCUUAAAAGGGCAAGGCGUGAACAGAAUAUGUUCCGACGGUGAAUGCAUCUGCCGGGACUAAUGUGGCAACUUCGCCUGGUGUGGGUAUAUGUGUCAUGCUCCUCGCACUGGUGCGCCCCACUACCAGCUGGACCUGGUGCUCCUAAAAUCUGGCUAUGUGUGACCACCAUUCACCUAUUUGAUCAUAUAGCUGGCAUUUUGUGCAAUUGUGCUGAUGGGCGCACAGGGGCUCACCUCCUUUCCCCUAUCAGUCAAGGGUACAUGUUUUUAUCAAUUAUAUGCAAAGGAAAUGCAAUCAACUACAGUUGGCUCAUAAACCAUCAAAUUUGCAUCCUGCCCGGUACCUCCUUAUCCUUUUUUUCAAAAUUUCAAAAGCCUUUUGUCCAAUAUCAUGUAUCAACAGCAAAGAGAUGCCAUGCAGGUUAAAACCUUCUUUUUCUCUGAGAAAUAUUUUCAGCAAUUUGUUUUGUCAAUUUUGAUUGCGAUUGGCUUGUAUAGCAGCAGUAACUAUUGUGUAUCAAACACGAUAUGCCUUUAAGAUGACCAUAGUAAAUAAAAUGGCACAAGCGUAUUGGCCUGCUAAAAUUUCAAGAACAUUUAAUUCACUGCGGCAUGGCAUUGAAAGCAAUCAGGUGUGUUCAGAACCUUAUGCUGGCUCCUAAUGCAGGAAUUUAUUCUGGAUAAUGAUGGAUGUGCAUUUAAAAGGAAAAUGCCAAAAAUUAAAGUCCACGAAAGAGAAGAGGCACCUGUCUCCAUCGGCAACGACGAUCAGCACUUUGCCAUAUCCUCAUCUCAGCUGUCAGCCACUUGAGCAAUUCAUCCAAACACCAACAGCAAGAACAAUCAUCAGCACAACAUAGCAAACCAAAUCCUGGUGAAUACAUUUGAAAAAGUGAUCUCAUUUAUGCCAUAUGAAUAUAUGAUGAAAACUGAGUAUGACCUUGAAGUAUACAAAGCGCAGUUCUGCUUUAACAGGUCCAGAUGUAUACAAGUUUAUGCUGAAGUGCAAGCUUUAUGAGAAAUAUACCUUUGAGAAACAUCUUCUUUUUCUACUCCCAGGGAUAUCACCUUUUCAUGUCAUCCAAGGAUACGUUUCAGACAUCAAUAAUGGGCUGAAGCACAUGCAUCCAAGAUUGAAACUAUAUGCAAGUUAAAAAGAAAUGAUCCAUAACAAUGCUUCCACAAAAGAAUUACAUGAAAGGCCCCACAAACAACUCAGCAGGAACAAAGCAUCAAUUAUCAAUUUCCUUUUUCAUGACAAGCAUAAAAGGCAAUUACAGGGAACUCUUUAUGCCAAGUACCACAAAGGACAGAUCAAAAGCAUGUAGCUAACUAGGCACGCAAUGGACAUGUAGCUUAGAUGAACCACAGCAUGUUACUGACUGACUAAACAUUUAAAUUAUUUACACUGAAUAGCAGCUCCGCAGCAGCAGCAUGCAAAUGGCAAGCAGUAGAAGCAACAUUAAUAUGAUCUUUCAGCACUUUGACCCCAUCCUAGCACCAUAGGAGUUGGUGAACCUGAUAAUUGCACCAAGCACAAUGAAAAAGCUGCAAAUCUGCUGCUGCAGAAAAGGCUGGCAGAAUCGCUAGAUUCAUAUAAUUGAUCACAGUACAACUAAGAGGCAGAACACAGGGCCGUUCCUCCAUCGAUCACAGUAACAAUUUGCUAAGAAUUUAACCAAACAUAAUACAGAAAACACUAUGAGAUCCUCAGGUUUUCAGAUUCCAAAUAUGAGAGCUGAACUAAUAAACAAAUCAGUCACAACAAAUAUAAGUUAAAUUAUUUUGCAAGCAUUUAUUUUGUUAAAACAUAAAAGAGAUCCACCAGGGCAAGGAAUAGGUACUUCGAAUCUGAAUGUAGUUCAAGAUUGAUUGUAAUUAGUCAGGAAUGCAGCAGGAUCGCCCAGUCACUAAUAUGCUAGAUCCCAACAGAGAGAAUAAAACUAAUACAUUAGUAGAUUUGGUACAACUAUGUUCAAACAAGAGAGCAUUAUGCACGUAAAGACACCGAUGACCCAAUUUGCAUAAUAGUUGAACAUAUUACAAGCUUCUCCUCUGUCCAUCAAUCUAAGGAGUAUUUUGUAUUAGAAGGCCUUCAAACGUCAAUUUUGACCUUCAAUUUCUCUUACAAUAUACUGUUAAUUAUUACAAAAUAUUUUGAAUCAAAUCUAUCGAUAGAACUUUUGAACACUAACAACACGCAUAAUCAAUUGCAAAGUUUUCAAACAAAAAAUGUGCUUUACAUUGAUGCGCAGGGGGAGCAGAAAGUUGCAACUAAAAUCAUCAAUUAAACUGGAACACAGAGUAACAUGAUCUGGAUUGGACUUAGCAAAUUAUCUUGAGAGAGCACCAAGCGUAACAAUAAAUAAAGGCAGGGUGUACAUUUCCAGAGGCGGGGAGUACAUUUCCAGUGUCAAAAAUCUUAAAAUGGAUAGGUUAAAAGGCAAGCAGAAAGAACAUAAAUUUUUCAGACAUUUCAAAUCAGCUCCCGGCUACUUUCAACUAGUUAGCAACAGCUAGCCAAGUUCUAAACCGGGUUGAUGCACUUACAACUCAGCUAAGCUAACAUUUCUAGCAAUAAUCAUGGUGGUCGGCUUUGGAACAACCACAAAGCUCAUAAUCGCCAACAGAGUUCACUUAUUCAAAGUAAGGAUCAUUAUGUUUUCUAGCAUAGGCUUCUUUCAAGAUUAGCAAACAAAAUGAAACCAAACUAAGCCAGAUACUUUAUAGCAAAUUUUGAAAUGAAUGUUUAUUAAUUUUAAUGGGGCAGAAGCAAAACUGAGUCGCUGAUGGACUUAACAAAGUUUUUUUUUAAAAAAAAAUCUAAGGGGAUAGAAUAUAACAAGAAAGAUGGACAACAUCGGCUUCAAAGAGAAAGCAGCUUAAAGGGAAUUUGAGUUGUAUGUAUGAGGAAAGUUUAAUUUUUCUAGUAUGACUCUGACCUUUCGAUUGAUAUAAUAUAACUACAGGGCCUUGGAUUGCGGUAACCAGUAGCUGUGGUUUAUUAUUGUGUGGGUGGAAUCAAAGCAUGAAACCAUCAUCCAAUUGGUUUCUUUGCUCUGAAUCUUGAUCAGCUGUGGGCCUUAAUAGUGCCAGUCUAUCAAUGAAGAUCUCGAUAGCGGUAGCAUUUCUUAUGAGUACUAUUCUAUGUAGCUAGUUUCACAUUAACACAUAUAGGCUCCUGAUUAUCACAAAGAAGCUUUUAACUAAUAAUGAGCAGAAACCAUCGACCAAAGUGAUGGAAAAGAAAGGAAGAAAUAAGAAACCUUGUCUUUCCUCUCUUGUAUAUAUGUUUGCUUUCCUGCUUGGGAAGGAUCAUUGCCUUCCAGAGCCACGCAGGAUGUCACUGGAUGGAUAAUUCAUCCUGUUACAGUAGUUUAAAUAUGUAUCCUGGGCAGGUCCUGUUUUAAAGAUUAAAAAAAUACCAGGACCUGAUCAGUCAGAAAGCCAAAACAGAGGCAUCAGAAUUGUUAGAAACCAUACAAGCAUCACCCCUGCCAGAUUAGAUGUGUAAUAAUCCUAGUCUGUCAGAUGGUUGUUAAAGGAACUCCAAGUAUUAUUAGUAUGUCAAUCUUGCUAUCUAAAGGAAGUCUUAAGAUCUCUGAUCUAUUAGUUAGCCGGAUCCUAAAAACUACAAAGGAAUGCAAAGGGGUCCUGCAUAGGGAGCAAUCAAGUAAAGGGCUUCACCCACCAAAUUGGUAUGAUCAUAAUCUCUUCUCGACAGUAGAAGCUCAAAGAUUAGAGGGCGAUCUGCCCUUAUCUCACUGAGUCCAUCUGGUACCGUAUUAUGAAUCCUGAACUGGCAGCUGAGAUAGCUCAGACCACACAAUCACAAAACAUAUGCAAUUAUGAUAAUCAUUAUGGCAAAAAGGAAAAGGAGCUCAACGACGACAGUCUGCGUUCAGCUCCUUAGUUUGCAGUAUUGGGGAUAAUGAAGAGUAAGAAACAAUAUACUUUACAUGUAGCUGGGAGUCAUUAAUUCUUCCAACCGGUUCAUUCAUAAUUCCCACAAUUUAUAUUCACAUGGUCCACGAAAUGAACAUCCACAUGCUACAUUAUACUCAUUCAAUUCCAAUAAGGAUGGUGGUUAGCGGGGUGGAGGGGGGGGGGUGGGGGGGGGGCACAGGAAAGCAAACAUGAGUUUGCUUGGAUACAAUUUUUAGCAUGUUGUGCAGAUUACAUAUACAUCCAAAACAACUAUACUAGCUACUUCACACACAAAUGCACUGCCACUAGUCACUUUUAAAUCACCCUAGCGCACCCAAAGAUCAUGAAUAGCAUUCCCAUGUCAGUACCAUCACUAGGUCUACAGGACUAAAGGUUCAUCCAGCAGGUCACAUCCUAGUAAAUAACGAGUAUAUUGUCUGAUGCCUCCAGCGCACUACGGCAGUAGUAGAUCCACAAAAUUUCUGACGCUAAUCAAUCUAGCACACUGGCCAAUACAAUGAAGAUGCUGCGUCAGCAGAGAUUAAUGGAAACCACAAACAAAUGGAGGUGUCGUAGCCGUGAUCAAAGCCUCAUUGCUGGUCGCCUGUUCCUGUUGUGCUGUGCUUAGCAGGAUUUGGUUUUGUUCUUCGCAAGCCCGGCAGCGCCGGUUUCCUUUGGAUGCCCUGAACUAGCCCCGCCGGCCGCCCCGGCAGACCGGCAGCGCCGGUUUCCUCGGAUACCCUGAACUACCCCCGCCCCCGCCCCCGCCCCCGGCCGCACCGCCCCCUCACAGGGCGAAAUCGACGCACCUUCAGCCGGGCGCAUCAUCUCAUCGCACCGCUGCCCGCUCCAAUGGUCGCCGGCGCCAGUAAUGGCGGGACUGAUUGGGGCGGAGAAGAUCAGGCCGCGGCUGGGGUUUGUCCCUUGCCUGUUGCCUCCGCCUCCGAAACAGAGAAAUUUCAGAAUUUGGAAUCAAUCCGCGGGCCUCACUAGAUUUGACACUCAGUUCGCAAGGUUUUCUAAAAUUUAACACCAUGCACGCAAAUUCUUUCAUUUCGGAUAUUUUUCUUCCUUUUCUCUCUUGUCUCUUUUAUUUCUUAGGUUAAUUGGAUCCCUUUAGUAUAUUUUAAAGAGUUGUAACUUUAGUAUAUUUCGAAGAGUUGUAAAAUUAUAAUGGUACGAUUCUAAUAUGACGAAUUGUAAUAAUAAAUCAGUGAACUCGGAUAAUUGUAAUGGUAUGGAUUCAAUUAAAAAAAAUUCUUCAUGCCACAUAAAAGGACACCUCUACCCCUGAUGUUAUCUCUUUGAAUGGAUCCUAGAUCUAGCUUUCUUUCUCUUUCAGCUCUAUCUCUCUCUUUCCUCUCUCCAUUGGACAAAGAACAGGUGCUCCCGCACGACUCAUCCAAGUCCGGUACCCCUCGCCGGUGGCUUGGACUCGGCCGCGGCUCCCUGCUGCGAGCAGUCCGGCGACCAAAUUGGUACGGUUCGCCACGUCUGCCCCCGUCAUUCAGGUAGAGUCGUAGAGAGGUUGCGCAAGACCUUAGGAAAACCCGCCGCCAACGAGCUCGCCGCCCUAGCCUCGCCAUCGACCGUUGUGCUCGGCUUGCGCCAUCCAGAUCGGCAGCGGGAGCGUAGUAGCCGACGGCUGCGGUGGCGUCGUAGGCCUCAGGGACACGACAGAGCGAGAAUCCUGGAGCUGGUCGGCCGUGCACUGCACGAGCUGACGGCGAUGUGCUCCUCUGGGAAGCCGCUUUGGGUGCACCGGAUUUGGAUUCGGGAGCACCUGUUCUUGGAUGGGGAGCGGUUGUUCUUCCAGCCAGCGAAGCGCGAGGGAGAGACGGAGAGAGAGAGCGUCAUGGGGGAUCGAUUCACUUGAAGAGAUAAGCCCAGAGAUAGAAUUAUCCUUUCACGUGGUGUGUGUCGGAAGAAAUCUCCAGCCGAGUGGCAGAAUGCACCCACCUAAUCCUAGUUUAGGAAGAGUUUGGGGGAGAUUCAGGAACGCUUGAUCAAAUGGUGGACGAACACGGGAAUGACGUAGAGAUUUAGAGUGGUUCGGGCCGCCGGAGCGUAAUACUUUACGUCCACUUGAGUGGUGUUGUAUUGCUCGUGGGAGCUUAGAGCCAAGGACCAGAAGCUUGAGCCUAGAGCAUGAGCUUGUAACCUGGAACCUGAACUUAGAAGUUGUCGUUCUAAUGAGUACACUCUCCCUUUUAUAGACUCAAGGGCAGUGCGUACACUAUGCGGGAUCCCGAUAGGUGGGCCCGGCGACUGUAACCUGUAAUACGAGAGAUAUGGAGAUCUUCCUUUUUAACUCCUCCCUAUAGUCCUCUCGAUCGAGAAGUUGAUGUGCGUAUCUGCAACCAGAGUAUGGUCCUGUGUCGCCUUACCGGCACAGUGGCUGUUGCCAGUGCUACACACAGUGGAAGACGUGCUGUCACUGUUGGACCAGUACCCUCAUAUAGGUGAAGGGGCUGCGCUGACCCGCCGCACCGUCGCCUCCGCACACACUGUGGCAGCGCACGCCUCAGCUCUCCUACAGCAGACCAUCGUCACCUCUUGCUCACGCGUGCGGCGCUGUGAGUUGACUGCACGCCUCCUGCCUGUGCAUAGUGCACAGUGAUGCGACACGCCGCCUUGAAAAUAGGCGGGCUUACCGUGGUGUUAGUAUACCUGCCCAGUGUGUCAGUGGGCAGGCCAUGCCCUGCCUUGGACGCGCGAAGCCCACCUACCCGUAUUUAAUGCGGUGGUUGGGCUAGUGUCCCGCGGAGGGCCUUCUUCCACAGGCACGUGGCAGGUCCGGCCCUGCGGUCACCUCCUUGACGGCACGUGGCGGUAUCGGACCCCUUUCCGGGGGGGAAGGGGAGGUCCGGGCCCCCGAGGCCAGUUCGGAUGGACAGGCCCAGAGGGGUCUGGCUCCCACACGUGGUGGCACCGGACCUCCUGGGGGGUCCGGGCCUAUGGAGGCCAUCCCCGAGCACCCUGUCCUCAUGGGCAUGUGGAGGCUGAAAGGAUCGAUGGACCAAGAGGGGGGUGAAUUGGGCCUUUUUCAAUUUCUAAAACAAGAUAAAACAACCUUAACCUAUGCAAAACUAGAAAGGCACCAAUUCACCAACCGGAUAGCUAAACAACCUACACAAGCUAGUUAAGAUGAAAAGAGAUAAAGCCUAGCAAGGUAGAGCUAACUAGUGAUCCCUAAAUCAAGCACAUGAACAAAUUGCAUGAAAGAUAAUGCUUGAAAUAAGUAAAGUGGACAAGGGACAACCGGAUUUUUUCCCGUGGUAUCGAUGUGUUGGCACACACCCCUAAUCCACGUUGUGACACUCACAAAGAGUAUUGUCACCUCCCAAGUCACCAAGACGAGGGCGCUCACUAAGAGUCUCCGUUCACCAUCCCGGUGUGGUGGAGAUCAAGCCACGUACAAAUCUCUUCUCCGGGCUUCCACAAUCCUUGGCAAGCUCCGCGAGAAUCACCUCGAUCACCAAGAUCGCCUAGGUGAUGCCAAUCACCAAGAGUAACAAGCUAAGGCCUUCACUUGAGAAAGAACCCAAUCACCAAGAAUGGAUGCACACAAGCUUCUCUCUACUCAAGUCCUUAAUCUUGCUUCUUGAAUGAUUGAAUGAACAAGUGUAUGAAAUGUUGAAGCUCAAGGUGGCUCUUGACUAUAGUAUGUGUGUUUGGAUGUUGCCUAGUGUCAAGAGUGGUAGAAUGACCCAUUGGAGGGGUAUAUAUAGGCAGCUCACACGAAUAGAGCCGUUGGAGAAAAAGCUGCCAGAAAAACUGCGUAGCGCCGGUUAAUCCGACGUCCCUCCAAUAGUCAUCGUCGGUUUAACCGGUGAAUGUAAACUCCCCUUUUGAAAAACUAGCCGUUACUGUUUGGGAAGAUUAACCGUCGUUGCAUCGGUUUAACCGGUGACUGUAAACAUCCAUUGAUCAACAGAAAUACCAAGUUACUGGACAACUGCACCGACGUCCAAUUUCAAAUAGCGUCGGUUUAACCGGUGAGUCUUUUUGUCCACUGAUCAACUGAAAACCGAGUCUCUGGACAACUGCACCGACGUCCAAUUUCAAAUAACGUCGGUUUAACCGGUGUGUUGACUUGUCCAGACCUGCUGACCUCGUUUAACCGACGUAUAUAAAACUUGAAGCGUCGGUUAAACCGGUGAAUAGGAUUUUUCUGAUUUUGCCUUUUCUGACUUGAGUCUUGAAUGAAAUCCAAAUAUUCUUGAGAUAUAAGUUGAGAACCACUUAUUUGAGCUUCUAGAAACCUGAGUGACUAUUGUGUGCAUCCAUUUUCAAAUGACCAUGUCCAUGCUCAAGUUACUAAGCCUAAACCCCUCUUAAUAGUGCGAUCACUACAAAACUAUAAAACCUAUACUAACCUAAGUGUCCUUCUCAACCUUAUGACACUUAGGACUAGAAAGAUCCUUAGUCUUGACACAUUAUAGAGUUGAAUGCCGAGAUCGCCUUUUUGAAUAAUGAAAAUUUGGGGGCCUCUUUUGACAUAUAACCAAAUGAGCAAUAAUGAUCUAUAAAGCUGCACAAACUCAUUAGUCACAAUAAUGGUUGUCAUUAAUCACCGAAACAUACCUUAAGGGCCUAGAUGCUUACAAUCUCCCCCUUUUUGGUGAUUGAUGACAACAUAAACAUAGAUAUCGAGAGAGCGAGAAAGAUAAGGCACGAGUAAACACAAGCAAACUCGAAAAGAAAGGAACCAAAAAGCUCAAAGGCUCAAACGAAAUCCAUAGAUAUGUCUCAAAAGCUCAGCAUGCUCAAGUGACAGAUGUACAUAUCCAUGAACUAACAUCAAAUAUAAUACAAUAAGAAACAUCAAAAGUCAGAUCGAGCUCUCUCUACAGCUACCCUCCCCCUGACUCCCUCUCCCCCUUUGGCAUCAAAGCACAAAAAGGCUACUGAUCUGGGUGCCGCGGGACGGCGAGGAAGCGAUCCGGGUCAUCGUCGUCGUCGUCGUCAGACGGUGGAUCCUCAGUGACUGCUGGUAGCUGCUGAUCUGAAGGACCGGCUGGUGCUGAGCUGACGGGAGGUGUGGCAGUCGUCGAGGCUGUCGUCGAGGCCCUGGUGCUGGCACUGCCUGGGAGAGGGUCCGUGGAAGUGGUAGCCGGCUCAGCAGAAGAUGUGUCAACAUCUGAAGAGGUGAGUGCUGAAGCUGCCGGCUGUGACGACUGCUGGGCUAAGGACACCUCUCCGCCUCCCCCUGAAGGUAAUGGCUGUGGUACUGCGGGGAGGCCAACUGACUGGACUGUAGAGGGUGACUCCUGGAAUAGUGAGGUCGCAGGCAGUGGAGAGAAGAUAGGACGACUCGCAGACCCGAGAAGUGCUGACAGUGAGAACAUAAUCUCCGGAGUCGUAGAAGAAGCUGGAGCAGUGGAGGCCGGAGCAGGUGUAACUGCAAGUGCUGGUGCUCCGGUGCCCUGAAGGCCUGACUGUGCUGGCUGCUGAGGGGCGAGUCCGGUGUGAGAAUACAACUGUGAAAUCAUCCCGAACAUCGCCAUCAUGCCCUGCUGCAUCUGCUGGAACUGAGCGUCCGUCCUCUGUGAGACUCUGUCAAUAAGGCCGACGAAACGCUCCUCCGUAGCAGCACGCUCUCGGGCGGCCUCCCUCUGGAUCUGUGCAAGCUGGGCCUCAUGGGCUCUCCUGGCCUCCUCCUGUGCUCGGCGGUCCUCCCUCUGCUGAGUGACCAGCUGCUGUAAAAGUGCGGUGAGCUCAGACGGCUGAGACACCUGAGACUCAGAAACUGUAGCAGUAGCAGCUGUCACUGGAGCUGGCUCUCCGGACCCCCCUGCCUCGUGAUCGUGACUCGCUGGAGCAGGUGCAGGGAAGUACUCCUCGUCCUCGGAGGAGUCUGACUCAAGAUCGGACCAGUGAAUCUCAUCCUCUCCUCCUGGAAGCUGUGCCUCUGCGGCAAGUAACGCCUCAUCCUCCUGGGCCACUCGGGCCUGUACCUCGGGUGCCAACUGUGCCAUAGCAGCCCGAUCGGCCUGUCUGCCUCUCCUCCUGUCUGAGGGUGCUGUCGGACGGUAGACUGGAAACCAUGGGACCUCGUCCUGUCUGUAAACUGCACUGACGGGGGACUCAGCUGGCACAAUCAUAGAACAAAUGAAGCUGAUCCAGUGAGCAUAUGGAAACUGACGCACGACACCCAUCCCGUCAGUGAUGACAUCCUCAAUCUCAGCCAAAAUGAAGUCAACAAUGUCGAACGGCUCAUGAGUAAGGAUGUGAAGAAGCAGUAGCUGCUGCAGACCUGUGAACCCCUCUGGGUAGCCACUCCUCGGGAGCAAAGUCCUCCGGAGUGCCAUGUGAACUGCGUAAGCCUCUGGGGUCAGCAGGCUAGGGACUCUGGCGUAGGAAGCAGGGAAUGGCUGACGGAAACACUGAGAGAUCACCUCGUGAGAAGGUGCAAUCCCGCCAAUCAUAGCCCUGCGUGGUGGAUCUGCAUCACCGUAGACCAUCUCGUGCAGAGAGACAUCAACUAGGUCAACUCCAAGAAUCCCUGCAAGUGUCGCUCUGGACAAACCAAACACCUGCCCCCCAAACAUGAAGUGAACUGCUCGGCGCUCUGGGGCAAUCCAAGCUGUGGCGUAGAAAACUCUGACCCAGUCCUCAAUAUAUCUGUUCCUCUCAAUCGAGAGCAACCUGGGCAGACCUCUGAAGUGCUCGAAGUGCUCGCGGACAUCAGCUCCCCCUGCAGCUGUCCUCAGUGAAACCCAGUCAAGAACCCUGUGAGGGAAAAUCCUGUGGCCCCGUCUCUGGUAAGUCUCGUAGAAACUGGCCUGAAGAAGUGUCCAGAAUCUGCGAUCGACCCUGCUGUCUCGCGUCACGGGGAACCACUCCUCCUCCUGUACACUCCAUCUGAGCCUCUUGACCUUCGCCGCAUUGGCCUUGGUCAAGUUCUGGAGCAGCACACCUGGCUCCAGACGCACGACAGUGUCCAUGCGGAACACUGCGCGCUCGGCCGCUAGGGCCUCGGCUCGUCUAGCUGCUGCUGCUGCUGCGGUGGACCUGCGAGGCUCCUGUGGCUGGUGACCUCCUCGCGUCCUAGGUCCAGUGCGACGCUCGGUCGCAGGUGAGGGCUGCUCUGCAGGGGACGUCUGCCGAGUGCGGCCGGAACGUCGUAGAGCUGGUGACUGAGGUGUAGCCUGCCCCUGAGACUGCUCAGACUGGUCUGUCGCUGACUCUGACUCGGACUCUGCCGCUGAAGCUGACUGCGCUGACUCUGCUGCUGCUGCUGCGGCUCUGGUGGCCCUGCCUCCUCUGACUCUGCCCAUCCCUCUGCCUCUCCCUCUGCCCCUGGCUGCUGGAUCUCUGAUCGCGAAAGGACGAGCACGGCCUGACGCCUGCUCCUCGGCGGCCUUAGCCACCAUCUCGGCCCUUUCGGCCUCUCUCGCUGCGCGAGUCCGCUUGCGCGCGGGCUCCUCAACCACGAUCUCCUUCCCUUUCCUCUUGUCACGGCCCAUCACGAUCACAGAUAGCAACAAGACGCGGUGACACGGCAGUGACGUCGACGCAGUGGCGCAAGGGCUCGCUGGUGCGGUGGCGCGCAGGUGGUGAUUGGCGGCGGCGCGGUCGCAAUGCAGGCGGUGCUUGCGCACGGCUGGGCGCGCGGAGCGAUGCAAGACGCGGGCACGGCUGGGGCCGUGCGGCAGACGACGGCGGCGCGGGCGGCGGUUGGCGCGGAAAGUGCGGCGGCGAGGGCGCACACGAGCUGCGGACAGCGGCGCGUGUGGCGAUGCGAGGACGCGAGCGGGCGCGGGCGCGGGCGCAGGAACGCGGCGGCGCACGGACGGCGAGCAGCGGCGGCGCACGGACGGCGAGCGGCGGCGGAUGGCGACGGCAGUAGAUGGCGGCGGACGGCGGCGGCGUGACGGGAGCUAGGGCGAAGGCGAGAGGUCGAGCGGGAAAAGAGAGCACGUGAAGGGUCGUGACCGGUCAAGAGAGAAAUAUGACAUGUGGACCUCGCAGUUUUUCUUAUCGCCGGUUGAUCCGACGCUUAGGUUUUAAGCACCGGUUGAUUGCGUCGGUGUAUUUUACCAGAAGCCUUGCCAAAUCUGUAUCUAUACGCCGGUUGAACCGAUGAUAUGAAAAGUGAACUCGUCGGUUGAACGAAGCAAAUAUCAGUUGAUUUUCAGGUCAAAAGUGUGUUCUGUUCAACGGUUGAUCCGAUGCUGCAGACUUUGUAUACGCCGGUUGAACGCCUGGAAUGACUGAGCUGUGACUGGCACUUAGUAACGCCGGUUAAACCGAUGGGUAUAGAUCCAUUGAGCGUCGGUUUAACCGGUGAACCCAAAAACCCUCUCUCAGCUCACUUUUCUAUGCUAAGUCCAAUGAACUUAUAAGAUUCAACUAAACUCAAAUUAAUGGACUUGCAUAGGCGACCUUACCCCUCAAAAUAGAAUAGCUUAAUAACUUAAAUAGUUUUUUUUUUUUUUUUAAAAAAUCAAGGAUAAGUCGCAAGAGAGACAAAGCGCCAAAUUUAAAAUGUAUGAGCCGUGUCAUAGGAAUAUUGAAGGAGUAAAGCUUCAAACUCACAAUGACAUUGCUCACUAGGCAAUAACGCACCUAACACUUUACUCUUUUCACUUCACAUGAAUUAAGAUCUUGCACGUAAAACAAGUCUCAUUUUCAUCAAGUGACCUCCUUUGUGACUUUUGCGCAUGCAAUGAUAAUGCAAAUUACAAACACAUGCGAAGGAAAGGUAAACAUGAGAUGCACAACUAUAUGACAAGAAAUGCAUAACGAGAAUUUAAGAUCUACUUGUCAAAUUUGAUCCCACGGAAAGCUUCAUCAUGAUGAGCCUUUCUACAAGCCUAGAGGAAAACAAGUGGACCACCACCUCUAGCUAAACCCUUGCUCAUCACUAUCUUACCAUGGUUAGACAAGUGUCCUAUAUGUAUGCAUUUUUCUAUAUGACAUGGCAACUUACAUGACGUUUGCCGCAUCUAACACAUUUAGCUCAUUUCUUAGCUUAACAAAGGUACUCUCGUCUAAAGGUUUUGUGAAAAUAUCCGCCAAUUGCUCCUCGGAUCUCACACCUUGAAGGGAAAUGUCCCCCUUGGCUUCGUGAUCACGCAAGAAGUGAUGGCGAAUAUCAAUGUGCUUUGUGCGAGAGUGUUGAACCGGAUUCUUGGCAAUUUUUACGGCACUUUCAUUGUCACAAAGGAGUGGAAUUCUUCCUAGUUUCACACCAAAGUCCAAAAGGGUUUGCUUCAUAUAUAGAAUUUGGGCACAACAUGCACCGGCAGCUAUAUAUUCCGCUUCCGCGGUGGACAAAGCCACGGAAUUUUGCUUCUUACUCGACCAAGAAACUAGAGAACGCCCAAGCAAGUGGCAACCCCCGGAGGUACUCUUGCGAUCCACACGGCUUCCGGCAAAAUCCGAAUCCGAGUAUCCCAAGAGAUCUAAACUGGCGCCUUUGGGGUACCACAAACCUAUGCUAGGAGUGUGCUUGAGAUACCGAAGGAUCCUAUUCACAGCAGAAAGAUGUGAUUCCUUAGGGUUAGCUUGAAAACGGGCACACAAGCACACACUAAACAUUAUAUCGGGCCUAGAUGCGGUAAGGUAAAGCAAAGAUCCUAUCAUAGAGCGAUAGAGGGAUUGGUCAACCGGUUUACCGUCCACAUCCAAGUCGAGAUGCCCAUUGGUUGCCAUGGGUGUCUUGAUUGGCUUACAUUCAUCCAUCUUGAACUUCUUCAAGAUAUCUUUAGUAUAUUUUUCUUGAUAAAUGAAUGUCCCUUCCUUCAUUUGUUUGACUUGAAAACCAAGGAAGAAGGUCAAUUCGCCAAUCAUGGACAUCUCGAAUUCCCUAGACAUCAUGGUAGCAAACUCAUGGCUUAGUAAAUCAUUAGUUGAGCCAAAGAUAAUAUCGUCAACAUAAAUUUGACAAAUGAAAAGAUCCCCGUUGACGUCUUUUGUGAACAAGGUGGUGUCCACCCUCCCGAUCUUGAACCCUUGCAUGAUUAGGAAGUCACGAAGCCUCUCAUACCAAGCCCUUGGAGCUUGUUUGAGCCCAUAGAGUGCCUUGUGCAACCUAUAAACAUGAUUAGGAUUCCUCGGAUCUUCAAACCCGGGAGGUUGCUCAACAUAAACAAGUUCGUUAAUAAAGCCAUUUAAGAACGCACUUUUCACAUCCAUUUGAUAUAAUUUAAUAUUAUGAUGUGAAGAGUAAGCAAGAAGGAUGCGGAUAGCUUCAAGUCUUGCGACCGGAGCAAAAGUUUCACCGAAAUCCAAACCUUCGACUUGAGAAAACCCUUUUGCCACAAGUCUUGCUUUGUUGCGUACCACCACCCCAUGUUCAUCUUGCUUGUUUCGAAAGACCCACUUUGUGCCGAUGAUGUUCUUGUCUUUCGGAGGAGCUUCGAGGACCCAAACUUCAUUGCGGGUGAAAUUGUUCAACUCUUCUUGCAUGGCCAUCACCCAAUCCGAGUCCUCAAGUGCUUCCUCUAUGCUAGUGGGUUCAAUACAAGAAACAAACGAGUGAUGUUCGCAAAAUGAAGCAUGCUUAGAACGAGUUCUUACUCCUUUGGAAGGACUACCAAUGAUUUGACCAAUUGGAUGAUCCUUGGAGAUGCGACCAUGCUUCACUAGCGGUAUUUGCGUGGAUGCUUGUUGGGGUGGAUCAUGAGUGACUUGUGCUUGUGGUGGAACAUUUUGCUCUUCUUGUUCUUGGACUUGGGGUGUUGGCGUUGACACAUUUUCUUGAGGUAGUGGAUCAAUUUUAUCUUGAUCUUCAUCCACUAGGGGUGCCGUGGAGGUGCUUGGUGUAGAUGAGGAAGGUCCUCCCCCUUGAUCAUUGCCUUCAUGCAUUUCUUCCGGCUUGAUAUCCCCAAUGAACAUCUUUUUCAAGGCUUCUUCAAUCUCUUCAUCCCCUACAUUCUCAUAGCCAACAACCUCCUCUUGGGAGCCAUUAGAUUCAUCAAACUCCACAUCACAUGUUUCUUCAACUAACCCGGAGGUUUGAUUGAAUACUCUAUAUGCUUUGGAGUUUGAUGCAUAACCAAGAAAGAAACCUUCAUCACAUCUACUUUCAAACUUACCGAGCCUUUUCUUCUUAUAAAUGAAGCAUUUGCAACCAAAGACCCGAAAGUAUGAUACAUUUGGUUUCUUCCCGGUGAUGAGCUCAUAUGGAGUUUUCUUGAGGAGUCGGUGAGGAUACACACGGUUGGAUGCAUGACACGCCGUGUUGAUUGCUUCCGCCCAAAACUUCUCGGACGUGCCAUAAUCAUCCAACAUUGCUCUUGCUAGGGUGAUGAGUGUCUUGUUCUUUCUUUCCACCACACCAUUUUGUUGGGGCGUGUAGGUGGCGGAAAACUCAUGUUUGACACCUUCUUCAUCGCACCAUUCUUCAAUCUUCAUAUUUUUGAACUCGGUGCCGUUGUCACUCCGAAUCUUCACGAUUGGGGAAUUAUAUUCCCUUUGAGCUUUUCUUGCAAAUGUCUUGAAGAUUUCCGGAGUUUCACCCUUAUCGCCUAGAAACAUGACCCAAGUGUAACGUGAAAAAUCAUCAACAAUUACUAGGCAAUAGAGGUUACCACCAAUGCUCUUGUAUGAAGUUGGACCAAAGAGAUCCAUGUGUAGUAGCUCGAGCGGCUUGGAGGUAGACAACAUCGUCUUGAUAGGAUGAUGAGUUGCAACUUGCUUCCCGGCUUGACAUGCUUUGCAUAGCUUGUUCUUGUCAAAAAUGACGUCCUUUAUGCCGGUGAUCAUCCCUCUCUUGUGGGCUUUCUUGAGGUUGCUCAUGCCAAUAUGAGCAAUUCUUCUAUGCCAAAGCCACCCAAGAGACGACUUGGUGAAGAGGCAAGUCAUGGUGCUUGUUUGCUUUGAAGAGAAAUCCACCAAAUAGAUAUUGCCAUGCCUAAACCCCGUGAAUACCAAUGACUUGUCUUUUUCAUGAGUCACUACAACACCAUUCUUGUUAAAGGCACACGUUAGUCCAAGAUCACACAAUUGUGCAAUAGAAAUGAGGUUAAAACUAAGUGCUUCUACAAACAAAACAUUCGAAAUGGAUAAAUCUUUUGAAAUUGCAAUUCUACCCAAACCUAAGACUUUCCCCUUUGAGUUAUCACCAUAGGUGACAUGUUCAUGAUCGCCGGGGUCUUCAAGUGAGGUGAACAUGCUAUCAUUGCCGGUCAUAUGUUGAGAGCAACCGCUAUCAAGUACCCAAUGUUUUCCACCGGCUUUGUAGUUCACCUACACACAUGAGAAUUUAUUUUUGAGUUUUCGGAACCCAAACAAGCUUUGGGCCUUGCACAUGUGUGACAAGAGCUUUUGGGACCCAAAGUUGCUUGGGGAGCUUCUUCUUCGACUCCUUAGCAAUUUUGCCAAUGAACUUGGCCUUCACCUUGCCCUUCACUUUACUCAAGAGAAAAUGAUUAUCUUGAAACAUUGAUGAGUAAUUCUUGGGUAAUUUAGGAAGAGGACGUGAUGGUAAAGUGCACUCCCUAGUGUGGUGCCCGGUGACUUGGCAAUGUUGGCAAUAUGAACCAACUUCCUUGAUGAAGCUUGUCUUGAUCUCCGGAGAAGGAGUUGUAGCCAUGUUUGGCUCCGGAAAUGAACCAAGACCUCUCUUACCAUAGUCACGGGCAUUGUUGAAGAGAAUCUCCUUGUGGAUAUAUUCUCCCCUUGAGAGUUUCUCCACACUACUCUUGAGGCUUGCCACUUGAUCCAUCAAUUCCUUUUCCCUAGAAGAGGCAAGCUUGGGCACAACAUUAGUGGCAUAUGCAUCAAUGAGUAGGUCAUCACAUGAGGUAGAAGCAUUGACCUUUUCAAGAACAACUUUCUCAAGACUUGGGUCAAUUACUUCAUAAGCAAAUUCAAGUUCUUGAUACUUGUGAGCCAACUCCCUAUGCUCUUGUUUGAGCUUUUUGUGGCUCUCUUCAACUUGCUUAGCAAGUACAAGUGACUCAUUAUGCUUUUUGAGCAAGUCAUUGAACUUACUAAGUAAGUCGGAGUGGGCAAGCUCUAACUUAGCAUGAGUGCUCUCAAGAACUUUGACUUUGCCCUUUUCCCUCUUGAUGACGGAUGUAUACUCAUUGAUGAGGUUAGUAAAUUCAUUAGGAUCAAGCUCUUCAUCACUGUCAUCUUCACUAUCUACCUCACAUACCUUGGUGUUACCUUUUGCCAUGAGGCACAUAGGAGGCGGAGGUAGAGAAGGUUCUUCAUUGGUGAGGGCGAUGGUGACAAUGUCUUCUUCAUCACUUGAGUCUUCGCUUGACGAGACAUCGGUCACCCACUCUUGUUUCUCCACCAAGAAACUUUUCUUGGUGUGCCCUUUCUUCUUUGGGAAGAGCUUGGUCUUCUUGUCAUGGGUCUUCUUCUUCCCAAAUCUCUUGUUUUUAUUCUUCCUCUCCUCUUCUUCAUCAUCGCUUGAAUCAUGGCGAUGCUUACCCUUGUUAUCCUUGCUUCUUUUGUCCGGCUUGGGGCAAUUUGGACGGAUGUGUCCUUUUUCGCCACAAUUGUAGCAAAUCUUGUUCUUGACAUCCAUUGGCCGGAACAUUCCCUUCUUGGAGUCAAAGUUGAAGCCCUUCUUAUUGAUCUUCUCAUUCAAGCGUGUGAACUUUCUCAUCAUGAGAGCAAGUUCUCCAUCAUCUUCAACAUCGGAUGAGCUCUCAUGGUGAUCAUCUUCUUCAUUGCUUGAGCUUGAGUCUUGUUUGACCAUCUUGAGCUUGCGGGAUUUGUUUGUCUUGGUCUUUAGAGCAAUUGACUUGCUUGAUGUUGGCUCUUCGGUCAUACCAAGAAUGCUCAUUUCAUGAGCGCGAAUUUCGCCCACAAGUUCUCCAACUUCCAUUGCGGCGAGAUCCUCCUUUUGAAGCAUAGCAUUGAUGAUGUUAUACUUGGGCUUCGGGAGUAGCAUGAGGAUCUUGCGGUUGAUGGAUGCACUGUCAAUUUUGGAUAUUUCAAGUGCAUUAAUGUCCUUGACAAUGACAUUCAAGCGAGAAUACAUAUCAUUGCAAUUUUCAUGAGCUAGCAUUUUGAAGGAAUCAUACUUAGCUCUAAACAAGUGAUAUUUUUGUUCACGAACUUUGGUGGAACCUUCAUGUAUUUCAAUGAGCUCCUUCCAAAUAUCACUUGCUAGGUCCAUGCCAUUAACUCUAGCAAAGACCUCCUCACUAAUAGCUUCGAAAAUUGCAUUUCUAGCUCUAGCAUUCCAUUUUAAUUGGUCGGGGGUGGGCUCUCCGGUGAAUCCGACUUUAGUUGCCAACCACACUUCGGGGGCAAUCGCAUCAAGGUAUGCGGCCAUGCGAACUUUCCAAUAGGCAAAGUUCUUGCCCUCGAAGUGAGGCGGCGAACCACCCAUCUUGGCCAUAGCUCUAGGCGGUGAAGCCUAAUGAUCCAAAUGAGCAACAAGGCUCUGAUACCAAUUGAAAGGAUCGAUGGACCAAGAGGGGGGUGAAUUGGGCCUUUUUCAAUUUCUAAAACAAGAUAAAACAACCUUAACCUAUGCAAAACUAGAAAGGCACCAAUUCACCAACCGGAUAGCUAAACAACCUACACAAGCUAGUUAAGAUGAAAAGAGAUAAAGCCUAGCAAGGUAGAGCUAACUAGUGAUCCCUAAAUCAAGCACAUGAACAAAUUGCAUGAAAGAUAAUGCUUGAAAUAAGUAAAGUGGACAAGGGACAACCGGAUUUUUUCCCGUGGUAUCGAUGUGUUGGCACACACCCCUAAUCCACGUUGUGACACUCACAAAGAGUAUUGUCACCUCCCAAGUCACCAAGACGAGGGCGCUCACUAAGAGUCUCCGUUCACCAUCCCGGUGUGGUGGAGAUCAAGCCACGUACAAAUCUCUUCUCCGGGCUUCCACAAUCCUUGGCAAGCUCCGCGAGAAUCACCUCGAUCACCAAGAUCGCCUAGGUGAUGCCAAUCACCAAGAGUAACAAGCUAAGGCCUUCACUUGAGAAAGAACCCAAUCACCAAGAAUGGAUGCACACAAGCUUCUCUCUACUCAAGUCCUUAAUCUUGCUUCUUGAAUGAUUGAAUGAACAAGUGUAUGAAAUGUUGAAGCUCAAGGUGGCUCUUGACUAUAGUAUGUGUGUUUGGAUGUUGCCUAGUGUCAAGAGUGGUAGAAUGACCCAUUGGAGGGGUAUAUAUAGGCAGCUCACACGAAUAGAGCCGUUGGAGAAAAAGCUGCCAGAAAAACUGCGUAGCGCCGGUUAAUCCGACGUCCCUCCAAUAGUCAUCGUCGGUUUAACCGGUGAAUGUAAACUCCCCUUUUGAAAAACUAGCCGUUACUGUUUGGGAAGAUUAACCGUCGUUGCAUCGGUUUAACCGGUGACUGUAAACAUCCAUUGAUCAACAGAAAUACCAAGUUACUGGACAACUGCACCGACGUCCAAUUUCAAAUAGCGUCGGUUUAACCGGUGAGUCUUUUUGUCCACUGAUCAACUGAAAACCGAGUCUCUGGACAACUGCACCGACGUCCAAUUUCAAAUAACGUCGGUUUAACCGGUGUGUUGACUUGUCCAGACCUGCUGACCUCGUUUAACCGACGUAUAUAAAACUUGAAGCGUCGGUUAAACCGGUGAAUAGGAUUUUUCUGAUUUUGCCUUUUCUGACUUGAGUCUUGAAUGAAAUCCAAAUAUUCUUGAGAUAUAAGUUGAGAACCACUUAUUUGAGCUUCUAGAAACCUGAGUGACUAUUGUGUGCAUCCAUUUUCAAAUGACCAUGUCCAUGCUCAAGUUACUAAGCCUAAACCCCUCUUAAUAGUGCGAUCACUACAAAACUAUAAAACCUAUACUAACCUAAGUGUCCUUCUCAACCUUAUGACACUUAGGACUAGAAAGAUCCUUAGUCUUGACACAUUAUAGAGUUGAAUGCCGAGAUCGCCUUUUUGAAUAAUGAAAAUUUGGGGGCCUCUUUUGACAUAUAACCAAAUGAGCAAUAAUGAUCUAUAAAGCUGCACAAACUCAUUAGUCACAAUAAUGGUUGUCAUUAAUCACCGAAACAUACCUUAAGGGCCUAGAUGCUUACAGAGGCACCGGACCUAUAUGAGCUCGGGGGGUAGGUUUGGAGACCAUGAUCCCAGCUGUCAAGCCCGGACCGUACGCACCGUCACCCAUAGGACAAGGGCGAGGUCACGGAUAACCUUGCGCCCAUCUGGUUGGAGACCCUGUCAGACGACUUACUGACAGACGGGGCCCGCGGAGAGGUAGAUCUCCUCGCAGCGGGCUACCACGACCUUCUGGUCGUUGAGCAGCUCCUUGGUGAUGAUGGAGGAUAGGCGGCCGAGCAUGUGAUGGCGCGCGUCCACCACGAUGCGCUUGGCGCACAUGCCAGAGCCGGACACCAUCGCACCCUUACCUGUGAGGCGGCAGCGACGCGCUAAGGGCCUGGACACCCUAGCAGAAGGUACCCCUGUCCGUAUGUACCGACAGUGUGGUUUUGGUUUGUAAGAAUAGAAAUAAAAGGGAAAAGAGAGAAAAUAGUAAAAAAAAAAGGAAGAGAAGCUGAAAUGAAAGAAUUCGCGUGCACAAUGUUAAAUUUUGAAAGACUUACGAAUUAAGUGUCAAUUCCAAUGAGACGCGUGGAUUGAGUGCCAAAUUCUGAAACUUUUCCUCCAAAAGUGGGAGGAAAGGUGAGGCGGGGCUGUGGGCACAAAGUGUUCGGCUGACGGACUGGGCCCGCACAGACAUGCCUAACGGUGGAGCCCGCUUGUCACUGUCAACACGACCGUGCGCUGAGCGGCUAACCGAACCCAACUGUCCACGGCUUCCCGCCGCGGCCACCGGCGGCGACUCCAGUCCGACGCGACGUCGGAGCAAAAUCGAUCGCUUGACAGCAUUUGACGAUAACAAAUCUAAGUAAGCAUUUCAAGAGCACGACCUUGCACGAAUUCAAUGACCAAAUUAAGCAGUCUGCCAGACAUUAGGAAUUCUUGCAGCCGAACACAUAACAGAAAUCAGAACGUAUGAUUCGGCAGACCUAAGGUCAUGGAAGCUAAGGGAGAAUUCCAUUCAUGGUAGCUGAUCACAUAAACUUUUUGUCGGGAAAUGGGAUGAAUACAUGAUUCUCACACUAUGAUUUUGCCAAAUAGAUUUUGCCAGCGCCACCAAUAUGUUUUCAGCAUCACCAGUCAGUUUUAGCCCAGAGGGUUGUAGCUAUUUCUCUGAAAGGGAUUCCUUGAUCAGCUUCUCGGUGAGCGCUUUCGGUAGCCCCAUUACACUGUCAAUUGUACCAACCUGCACAAAGUCCCGAUAGUCAGGUGUCAUGCAAUCCCUUUGAAAUGACCAUGUAAAAUUCAGUAUGCAACCAGGAAUCAGAAUAUGUGUAACUCACAAUGGCUUCCACGAGAGGUGAAGUUAGGGGAUGCUCUACUAGGAGACCACCAGCAACGUAGAAGACAUUGCCCUCCUCAAUCUGAACAUACAGAAGUGAAAAAGUUUAUGUGGUGAGUCUCAUGCCAGAGUAUGGAGGAAAAAAGGACCGGCAAAUUUUCAGCAUAAACCGUGUGCCAAUGAGAUUCCAUCACAUUGUGACUCGCUCAAAGGAAGAGGCAUAUAUUAAACAAUGACAAAGCUGAUCAACUGUUGCAGAGCACAGAAAAACAGAAUAGUGGGUCAACCGUUGCAGAAUGCGGACUUACCAAACUCUCCACAACUUCAUCAGGAAUUUUGUGGAAAUAAACCUGGUCAUCAACAUUUACAGUGGAAAUAUUAACAGGUGCAUCACAGAAUAGAACUUAAAUGCAAUUGAAAGACUAUGAUUCUAUUCAUCUAUUGUACUGGAAUAUACAUGGCAAUUAGGAUUUACCUAUACCUAAGACUAGUUAUAGCUCUGAACCAAGGGUGAUAUAAUGCCAAAUCUAUUAUGUUACGAGGGUGUAGAAGAUUAACAUUUAUCAACUAAACCAAAUACAGUAAGUUGAGUAAACACAAAGUUCAUGUUCAGCCUCCACUUCACCCCUCAACUUCGUAAUAGAGCUAACAACAUCUAAAUUUUAUUGCAGAAUUCAUGUUCAGCCCUCAACUUUAUUACAGUGCAAAGGAGCCUAUGAGUGCAAGGCUCAAUUGAGGUUAGCCCAUCAACUUUUAGGAAGUGUUAAAGUAAGCUGUUACUGAUUCACAAAUUUCAAAUUUACUUGAAACAGAAGUUGAGGAUGAGGUUGAUUUGGGCAGGAAGCUAACAAGAUGUUACACAAAGUCAUAUUAAACGGUAACUAAAACCUACAUAAAGAUUGGUGGAAAAGGUUGAGGUUAAGUAGUCUAAUAUCUAAGCAUAAGGAAGCUAAGGUACUCAUUCUAAAAUAAAACAUCAGGGAAAUUUAGAUAGUACUUCUGCUUUAUCCCAUCCUUCCUUUCUAGCUCCAGUCUUCACAUUGGUAACAAGCACAGAUCCAAUCGUCGCAGCAUGGCUUUCAGAGUACCCUGAAGCAAAACUCGUUUGUAAAUGAUCAGAGGGCAUGGACAAGUACAACAAAGCAUCUAAAAGAUUUUGAGUUCUAAUAAAUAACACAGACCUUUGAUGAAUUUCCGUGCCUCUUCUGAAGUGCUAGGUUUUUCUCUAAUCACUCCAUCAUGAACAACAACCUCCAUAAAGCAUAAUGUGAGAAGAAGAGUUAAAAAAAUUAAACAAGCACUAAUAUUUGAAUUAAACAACAAUAACAUGUGCAAGCAUGUGGCAGAACUAUAAAUAUUCUCAACUUUGAUUUCCGUGAAUUAACAGAUACUAGCGCCCUAUAUGAAUUUGUAGAGAAAGCGCAAAUAGGAGAGCGAUUAUUCUUAGCUACAAUGUGAUGCCUUAAAGGCCCAAAUACAAUUAAAAAAUACAAAAAUAGCGUACUGCAUAUGAACAUGGUUCGACAACCACCCUUUUAUGCCUCUUGACUUUGAUCACCCUUAAUUUCAAGAUUGUUCAGCCUAAUAACCAUCCCUUUUCUUCUAUCAUCUAUGUGAAUGUUUAUUUAGAAACAAUGAACAUUAUUUGAUGGCCAGUGUUACUGUACUUUUAAGUUUUAACUUCACAGGCAUCCUAACAAAAUUGGCCAAGUAAAUAUCAACCAAGAAUGAAGCACGCAAGUUGGGCCAUAUUUCCAGAAGCAGCUGAACCUAAAAAAUUGCUAAGGUGCUACCUUUGUAAAUAUAAUGGUUGCGUAUUCACGAUUUCAUGUAGCUCAAAUGCAGCAAGAAUAACAGUGUUGGACACAUCCAGUCACUUUGAUUGUAGAUAAUAACUACAGUGUGGAAAUUGGCAGCUGUAUUCACAUAAAUGAUGUAUGAUGCUCAUGAAAGAUUAUCAAGCAGAGCGUGCUUCAAGAGGUGUAAGCUGCAUACUUGGUCAGCGGUGAUCAUCAAUGUAGUCUCUUGAGAAUCAACAAUCUCUUUCAUCAUCCCAUUGUUCUUCAUCUUCUCAAGUAUAGCAUCCGCCUGCAACAUUGACGAAAUAUCCUAAGUAAAGCAAUGACAAUCCAAUUGCAAUUGCUUAAAUCAACCAUUAUCUACACCCAAAGUAACUAAAAGACAAAUGCGAGUCAGUACUAGCCACAACCAAAUAACAGAUUCUAAAAGUAAAGACCCUUGUUACUUUGACAAAAAGCUGGAAUUUUACCAAUGUGCUAGGCGCUUAAACAUUUCAUCUAAUCAUAAAUACUAAACACUAUUAAACCCAAAGCAUAUAGCUGCCUCGCUAGCUACACUCCCACAGUCCCAUCCCCUAAAAUGCUCCCCUUCUCUGAGGUGAGGGUGCAUGCUUUCCCUCUUUACUACUGAAUUGCAACCCAAAAAAAAAGGGCAGUGGAAUCCAGUUCUGGAACAAAAUAGAGCAAGAAUUACUUUAGCAUGAGCCAAGGCGACCACCAGUUCCUCUGGCUUCUCCUUUCUGAUCUCCUUCUCGUCGAUAUCCGCACUCUGAAGCCCCCAAGAGAAGGCAAACGAGAAAAAGAAAAUAAAUGAACUGAACCAUGCGGUGCGGUGCGGGAGAAGAAUCGACUGAGGCAUAACAUCUCAAAUACAGAGGGCACAGGUAACCAACAAGAAGUGUGAACUUGUAUCCCAUCUCGGACAGAAUCUGGCGGCGCGACGCCGACGAGGAGCCCAGGAUUAGCUGCAGCGUUCCGACGCCAGUGUAAGACAGGUUAGAGAGGAAAUAUGGAGUGUGGAGCAAAAAGGUGAGAUUUCGGCACUGCACGAGCGCGCAAGCGUACCCUGAGAGCCGAAGAGGCUGCCAUGCUUCAGCCUUCAGUCCUCGCUCCAGACCUCCCCCUUCUUCUCGCCGCCGUCUCCAAGAUGCCAGGAGGAACGAACAGCGGAAGACGAAGUGGGCCUGGUCUCGCGUCUAUCAUCCGCGAUGGGGAACCCGAAUCGGCUGCCGUGGACCGUAGGAUUGGCUCGUGGACGGUCCUUGUGAGCUCUGUGCCUCUGGGCUUCUAGACCGAGGGGCCAAGAGGCCAGAAGAGGCACAGAGCUGCUAGUGGACUGGGCUUCUAGGCUUGGUCUAGGCCAAAUUCGUACAAAGGCUAUCCAUUCGUUAUUGGGCCCUGUCCUAACCUGAACUGCCCGGGCUGCGGGCGUGGGCCGCGUGGCUGCUCCCCUGUUUGCUCCUUUUGUGGCUUUUCCGUCCGUGUCUGUCUGUUCCUUUUGUUAGAUUUCAUCACGUUUUCAAACAAAAUUGCUGUGAUCACAUAGCAUCAUGUCCAAGACUUUAUUCUUUUAACCCUAGAGUUCAUACUUUGCACCAUAUCCAUAUGUUAGGAGGUGUUGGCCUGGAGCUGGACCCAUGUGUAAGCCACACGCACAAUUUGAGUGUACCACAGGGGUUGUGGGUUACCAUCGGAGUAGCUGGCAUAGCAGGGAUCUGGAACGUUGCCGGUUAGCAUGACAAAUACACACUGAGGUAAAAGGAAAGUUAACAGACCAUAAUGCACCAAGUAAGGCGUCUGAUAAAUGAUGUGAACUGAGGUAGAUAACCAUGUAACUACUUCAUUUCACAUUUUGUUAAACGAAAAACUCAUCGCUAGGCACUGUUGGCAGACAAAUCUGUCUGGGUCCAAGGUUGCACAUGAGGUGCUAAGCAUGUUUUGACGCGCGCCACGUCUCCGAGUGAGCAGAUGCCGGGCACCGGCACGCAGGGCCUGCACGGCCUGCGCCACUGCCCGAACACAUUUCCAGGCAGCACUCAUCAAAUCGAUGGUCCCUCUCCCUCAGCUCCUGGCAAAACGGACCCAGGCCGGGCGCGGCAACGCACGAGCCACGGCGCGUCGCGCCCGCGCCGCACCACCGCCUGCGGCCUCGCCCCGCCCCGAGCGCCGGGACAAAACUCCAGGUACUACGUGCGUAAUCAUGGCAUCGACCGGUCACAUCGCCGCCUGCGCCGGUGGGUGCCACCGCCAGCCCGGCCGGGCCGGCAGCCGGUGCCCGGUGGUGCUGCCCCUCCGGACAGUACACCGCGCUCUUUUUACUGCCGCUGCAGCCGCCGUGGGGUGGGCGCGCGGGCCGGCUCUCGCCACUCGCCUCGUCGUCCGGCGGCCUGGCCACGGCUGGCCUGUUGCGGCGUCCGUCCAUCGAGGCACGCGCUGCUCUGCCCGAGGCCGGCCGGCUGGCCGGCCGCCUGCUCUGCUCCGCUGCCGGGCCCAAUGCAGCUGCAGGCUCGCUCGCGUCAUGUUUUGAUUGCGCGAGACGGCGAGACGACGAGAGCGCGUGCAUGCAUGCACGCACGCACGUUUCUCCAAGCCCUGCCCCCUCCCUCUGCCCCGAAUUGAAUCGGGUCGCGGUCGCGCGCCGUACGUGCCCGGCGCGCCUGCGACGCCUGGGGGAGAGCGGCCGGGCGGGCGGGUACCGUCGCGUCUGGUGGUGCCGGCUCGCUCGCUCGCCGUCGCCGGGUGAGGCCGUGAGGGUGACCACCGCGCGCGGCGGCAGGACCGCUUCAACGCUCUCCGUCGCGUCGCGCGCCUGAGCUCGGGUCAGGCCGCCGGCCCGGCCGGGAUGACAGCAACGAUUAAGGCCGGCCUGAGUUUUCGGAGUCCGGGGAACCACCGGUUGGCUCGGCGGCCCUCUGGCCAUUAAGUGGCCAUCAAGUCGCGGCAGGAGGCGGCGGAGUACGUGCUGUCGCGCCAUGGGGGGGCGGAGUCAAGCAGCAGCUCAGAGCUGACCGCCGAUGGCAGAGUACGUGACGUACUGUCAUGUCAUCGGGGGAUCAGCAUCAGCGAAGUGAAGCGAGUUGAGCGAGCCAUGAAUCGAGUCUGGUCCCGCUAGUCCCGGCCGGACUAAAAGCUAGUCCGGUUUGUUUGGCCCAGGAAGAAGAGCUCAUUCAAUAGGUCAAUCUGCCAACAUGAUGCCUGAUGCUGUGAUGCAGGCUAGCUACAAAAAAAAAGCAUGAUGGUGGAUGGCCUGGUGCAACUAUUUACUCCUACACCGUACAUAUUUACAAUGAGCGUAAAUAUGAAUUUACUAAGGAACCACACGACCUCCGAUAACACUUUGAUACUCUUUAUCUAAAAAGAUAUAUAAUCUUAAGUAGACAAAGUGUAAACUACUCUCUAGAAUAAAAAAAUAUGUCUAACUCGACUAAGGGUGUGUUCGUUUCACCCCUCUAAAACCCGAAACAUCUAAACUUUAGAAGUCCGGCACCGAACAGCCCUCUAAUUCAGCCUCUAAUAAGACUGCGAUUCCUCUAAAGAUUUUAGAGGGGAGGAGCACUCUAAAGAUUUUAGAGGGGUCUUAUAGAAAAAUACAUCAUUAGAUCCAUCCAUGUCUUGAUUGUGCAUUGUUAGUAUUGUAGGUGUUAGUACCUUUUCUACUGAGCUGGCCAAAGUCAAACAAGUUUGACUUAGGAUAAAACAUGAUAUCAUAUAUUUUGGAAUAUAGUUGGUAUGAAAGUAUUUUUAAUGGUAGUACUAUGUAUGUAAAAUUUCAAAUAUCAAUGGUUGAAUCUGAAAUUUUGAACAACGGCAAUAAUUACGAACUUACAUAGUUACACUAGGCCAUUAGGGACCGUAGCGAUCGAGUAGGAAAGAUGGUGGCUUGUUAACAAUGGUACGUGGCCUUAAAUUUCCAGCACAUCUGUACAAAAUGCUACUGGCAGAUACUCCUCAAAAACUUUAAUGCUGUGUGUUGGCUACCUGAAGUCCUGAACAAGGCCCGGACAAGCCUGCACGAUGCAGUAUGGUUGUACUUUUUUACUAGCCUUGGUAGAAACUUGAAGGCAUGCAGAACAGCAGAAUGCAGGUAGCCCGUAGCCACAUGAGGGAGAUGCAGGACAAGAUUCCAUCCACAGCCGGGCCACCAGACAGAAACGGGGGAAUCGUGCUGUCUCUGCUGGAACAAACUUGACUACUAUACCUGUGUGCAGUGCGUGCCUACAUAGGAAGUAAUCCGCGUACGUUUAAAAUGGAACUAGUUCAUGUUGCUUGUCGACGCCCGUUCUCUCGUAAAAGGACUUCAAGACACGGUUGGGAGCAAAAGGUUGGGAAUGGGAGGAAAAAACUCUCUCGCGUUAGCACAAGCAUCCAACACCUUGGAAUAAUGAAACUACCCCAGCAAAUGCAUGAGGAGAGAUAGGACCACAGCACAGAGCAAUCAGACAAACUACGCGCUUGCCUCCUCGGCGCGUAGCGUGAUCUGGCCUGCCUCAAAUCUUGGCCUUUAGCGGGGCCUCUGCUAGGCGACCAAACCGUACGUCCUGUGCAAGCAACACAAUGAUCUUUCUCUCACCAUCUUUUGUCUACGCUUUGUGAGGGGAAAAAAUUAGAAAAUUUUAAUGAAUGACGCUCGAAAACUAUAGCGGUUGGCUUCUCUUGAAAAGUUUGUGUGUACUCCUACAUGCUCUUGAGAAGUUUAUGCUAGUCAUAAUUUACAUUCAUUGAAUAGGAAAGGGGAAUGAUCCAAAAGUUACUUGACUUUAAAGCUAAAGGAAAAAAAAGUUCCUUUUCACCUUCCUCUACAAUCAUCGGAGUUAAAGUUUUCUCCUCGAACCACAAUACUAGACAUUUGGUCCCCUGAAUUAUUGAAGCCGUCAGUUUUUGCAUCCUGGACGGUUUUGACAAAAGUCAGACAACAUAGCGCUACAUGGACCCAUUCUACUUGGCGCCAUGUCAGCUACGGGGUGGUAAAUCAGAUUGCGUUGAUAGUUAAAGAGGGACAAAUGGAUUGGUCUUGAAAAGUUGUGCAAAUAUUUUAUGUUCCAAAAAUUAUUGAAAUAUGUUCUUGAAAAAAGUUUAAAGCUACUCAAAAUUCUCCCAAACCACUGUUCAGAAAAAGAAAAGAAAUAAAUAAAAACAAAUGGCAACUCGCUAGCCACCGUGUACCUCCGCUCCCAGCAAGCCGGCUCAUGGACGUUUGUAUAUUUCUUUUCAAAAAAUUAGGUAAAUUUUUCAAAAAAAUUUGGACAAUUUCUGAUAAAAUUAUUUAAAGUAGACAAUUUAUCCAUGGCCUAUUGACGUAAUCUGAUUUAGCGGCCCAUGGUUGAUGUGGUGUUCAUUGAAUCAAUUUAGGAUGUAAAAAUGGAUAUGUUUUCAAUAGUUCAGACAGGGACCAUAUCAGAUAUUGCGUUUAUUACAGAACCAUGUCAAAUUAUUUAAAAGCUCACUGUAUGAGCUUAAAGCCUUUUUUGAAUUCAGGAUCCUUGCUUUUAUUACAGAAGGGAGUAAAAUCAGAGCAGUCAACAACGAAGGAGAGGGCUGACAGCACUUACCAGCUUUGCUUGUGAGAGACUUAUGGGAAUGAUGGGACUUUUUUGAAGUUAAACUCCGGCCCAUAUGACACUUCAAAGUUGAACUGAAGUUUCUUAAAAAAAUCGUUUUUUCUACAAAAUCUCAUCGACCAACACCAACUCGUGCUGGGCUUAGUCCAUAGACCAAGUCUAAACUCUUGGUUCACGAUUCCUCAUCUAUCCUCGCCUACACCUACGCAUACGCGCGCCGUCGCGGACCCCUCGCUCUCGGCGCCUCGCAUAAAGCAGCUCGUCUCCUCCCGGCUUCUCUCCUCGCCGCCUCCCAUGGCGACCGCCCCCUCGAGGGACCGAACAGCCCCUCCCCCGCGCCCUCCUAUCGCGCGCUCCCCGAGGGCGUCCCGGCCAAUGUAGGCGCAGGAGGGCGCCACCGCCACCGCCAACGGCAGACAGGGUGGAGCCAGGCAUUCUUUUCUACUACUAACGACGAGAGGAGGGGAGGGGAUAUACAUACGGUCGGAGGAGGAGGCGGCGGCGUAUUGUACGGAUCUACGGCCGUUCUCGGCGCCGCUCGCCGUGUUUUGGGUGAUUUUUGUAAGCUUCUUCUUUUCUUUUUUAUGUUCUGUUGUAAUUUGACGAUGGGAGGGCAUCUUGCAGUUUUCUUGGUCGGCCAAUGUUGGCAUUCUCUUGCAGUUUUCUUUUUCUAGUUUUGGUGUUUAGAGAACGGUAGGGGACAGAAAGGUGGGAGGCUGGAUGCUAAUUUGGUGAGUUCUUGUAUGGUCAAAUGUGGUUAGAUUCUAAACCUUGUUCAGGCUGGGCCCUCAUUGAUUGUCAAGUUUCUUACCAAUUUUGUAAUCCCCACUUUGCAUGGAGAGCUUGAUUAAUUAAAGUGGUUAACUUUGUGAAUUCCUGAAUGGUUAUUCUGCAUACCCUGCUUGAAUUAAGUGUUUUUCCUGAGCUA
rnacentral:lncRNA from 1 species